rnacentral:rRNA from 1 species
CGAUGGAUACCCGCUGUCCGGCCCGUACGGUCUGGGCGGCCAAGCGAAAGCGUUAAGUAUCCCACCUGGGGAGUACGCCGGCAACGGUGAAACUCAAAGGAAUUGACGGGGGCCCGCACAAGCGGAGGAACAUGUGGUUUAAUUCGAUGAUACGCGAGGAACCUUACCCGGGCUUGAAUUGCAGGAGAAUGAUUCAGAGAUGAUGAAGUCCCUCGGGACUCCUGUGAAGGUGCUGCAUGGCUGUCGUCAG